GAUGAACGCUGGCGGCGUGCCUAAUACAUGCAAGUCGAGCGAAGCGGGGACGGGUGAGUAACACGUGGAUAACCUCCUAUAAGACUGGGAUAACUUCGGGAAACCGGAGCUAAACCGGAUGCUUAUAGAACGAUCCUCGCUGCAUUAGCUAGUUGGUAAGGUAACGGCUUACCAAGGCAACGAUGCAUAGCCGACCUGAGAGGGUGAUCGGCCACACGGGAACGUAGACACGGUCCAGACGCCUACGGUAGUCAGCAGUAGGGAAUCUUCCGCAAUUGGCGAAAGCCUGACGGAGCAACGCCGCGUGAGUGAUGAAGGUCUUCGGAUCGUAAAACUCUGUUAUUAGGGAAGCGGUACCUAAUCAGAAAGCCACGGCUAACUACGUGCCAGCAGCCGCGGUAAUUC
rnacentral:rRNA from 1 species